ACUAACAAGGAUUCCCCUAGUAACUGCGAGUGAAGCGGGAAAAGCUCAAAUUUAAAAUCUGGCGGUCUUUGGCCGUCCGAGUUGUAAUCUAGAGAAGUAAUGCCCGUGCUGGACCGUGUAUAAGUCUCCUGGGAUGGGGCGUCAUAGAGGGUGAGAAUCCCGUCUUUGACACGGACUACCAGUGCAUUGUGGUAUGCUCUCAAAGAGUCGAGUUGUUUGGGAAUGCAGCUCAAAAUGGGUGGUAAAUUCCAUCUAAAGCUAAAUAUUGGCGAGAGACCGAUAGCGAACAAGUACCGUGAGGGAAAGAUGAAAAGAACUUUGGAAAGAGAGUUAAACAGUACGUGAAAUUGCUGAAAGGGAAACGCUUGAAGUCAGUCGCGUUGGCCAGGGAUCAGCCUUGCUUUUGCAUGGUGUACUUUCUGGUUGACGGGUCAGCAUCAAUUUUGACUGCUGGAAAAGGGCCUGGGGAAUGUGGCAGCUUCGGCUGUGUUAUAGCCCCUGGUCACAUACAGCGGUUGGGAUUGAGGAACUCAGCACGCCGCAAGGCCGGGUUUCGACCACGUUCGUGCUUAGGAUGCUGGCAUAAUGGCUUUAAGCGACCCGUCUUGAAACACGGACCAAGGAGUCUAACAUGCCUGCGAGUAUUUGGGUGAAAAACCCGGGUGCGCAAUGAAAGUGAAAGUUGAGAUCCCUGUCAUGGGGAGCAUCGACGCCCGGACCAGAACUUUUGGGACGGAUCCGCGGUGGAGCAUGUAUGUUGGGACCCGAAAGAUGGUGAACUAUGCCUGAAUAGGGUGAAGCCAGAGGAAACUCUGGUGGAGGCUCGUAGCGAUUCUGACGUGCAAAUCGAUCGUCAAAUUUGGGUAUAGGGGCGAAAGACUAAUCG
rnacentral:rRNA from 1 species